CCCCAACCCCGUCGCUUCUCUUCGCCGCCUAUCGCCUCCCGGAUCCAGCAGGAAAACUAGGCACUGCAGCUUCGGGAGGUAAAGCUGCGUUGCCGACCCUACCCUCAAACCCUCGGCUCAUGA
rnacentral:lncRNA from 1 species